UAAGGAACAGAAGAAGGGAGUUCUCCCAACUCAUCCAAAAAUCCAUAAAUUGAAGGUGGAAUGGAGCUUGAUCUCUUGCAUGGGAUGAAAUUCCUCAUCAUCCAUCCUAAUAAACAAGAGGAUAAGCAAUAUGUCAAGGGCGCAAGCACGGAAGGCUAACGGGUCAAGAGGAGGUGAGGAAACGAUUAUGAAUACGGGCACUUAAGGAUGCGCGAGAGGGUGUUGAAACGGACGAAAAACCCAAGAUUUGCUAAAUGCAGCGCAACAACAAUAUGUGAUGCGUCGCCGACGUGCCUUUCAAGCGUUGGCGAUGCAACUUGCUGACUUGUUUUCUUCUGACGCCCUAAUCUACUGUCUACGGGUGUUUCCAGCCAAGGCGAUGUGUCGGCGAUGCAACUUUAGGCCGUCGCCGAUGCAAACUCUAAGUCUGAUUCUCAAAUGUCUUUGUUCCGUGUGUCCAGUUGAUCCAAAUCGUCUCCCGAUGUUCCGAUAAGCUCCCGAAAUGCACCUCAACCUUGUUAAGGAGUUUAGGCGAGGUGUAAUGGGUAUGAAACUCGUAUAUGAGUACGAAUGGAAAGGAAAUAAGUAUGUAAACUAGUAAACUUGAAUGUCAAAAGGUAUAAUGACGAUUGGAUAAUAUAGAAGGGAACAAAUAGGGACUGUAUGUAAGAGUUAAAUAAAAGAGUUUAUAGAUGUAUAAAUGUAAUGGAAUGUAAUAUGUACUAAUGAAUAUGACAUGUACAUUCGGGGGCGCAGAUUCCAUACGUAUAAGUAUAAUUGGUUGUAAUCAUGUUGUUACUGAGAAUGAAAUGAUUUUCAGGUACAUUAAUAUUGGACUAUUGAAGGAUCGAUACGAGAAUGGUAAAGUAUGAAGCUAGAAAACUAAACAGACGAAAUGUAUUUAAGAACGGGACGCUGUGUAGUCGUUUAAAUAUGCACCUUUAGGUUAUAUUUAAAGUCACCAAGUACUAAUAAUGCGAAUGUAUGUGGUGGCUACAGGUUGUGCAAUAUCAGAAAACAUUUCUAUGGAAACAAGGCGAUGAAGAUCGAGUCACAUAAUAGAUUGUAUGGGAGUGUGUAAUUAUGUAGCUUUGAUAAA